AACCUCAGAAGGUGGAUCUGCCAAAACCUCAGCUGUUACUCUCUUGAGUCUGACUGAUGUUAGAGCACUGACCUGAGAUGGAAAGUCAAAUACUAAAAAGCAAGAUAACAUUUGGUUCAUCACUGCAAGACUCAAAAAAGGCUGGCCUCUAAGACAGGGAACAGAGAGAGACUUUCUGUGCCCUUCAAUUCUGCAAUGGCAAAGAAGCUUUUCAUAGCGGAGCACAUGUAAGUAAUAUGCUAAAGAAUGAAUGAGUAGCUAAAAUAUUUUG
rnacentral:lncRNA from 1 species